rnacentral:rRNA from 1 species
UACGGAGGAUGCAAGCGUUAUCCGGAAUGAUUGGGCGUAAAGCGUCCGCAGGUGGCUAUGUAAGUCUGCUGUUAAAGAGUGAGGCUCAACCUCAUAAGAGCAGUGGAAACUACAUGGCUAGAGUGCGUUCGGGGCAGAGGGAAUUCCUGGUGUAGCGGUGAAAUGCGUAGAGAUCAGGAAGAACACCGGUGGCGAAAGCGCUCUGCUCGGCCGCAACUGACACUCAUGGACGAAAGCUAGGGGAGCGAAUGGG